GGCCUAACACAUGCAAGUCGAGCGGUAGCACAGAGAGCUUGCUCUCGGGUGACGAGCGGCGGACGGGUGAGUAAUGUCUGGGAAACUGCCUGAUGGAGGGGGAUAACUACUGGAAACGGUAGCUAAUACCGCAUAACGUCGCAAGACCAAAGUGGGGGACCUUCGGGCCUCAUGCCAUCAGAUGUGCCCAGAUGGGAUUAGCUAGUAGGUGGGGUAACGGCUCACCUAGGCGACGAUCCCUAGCUGGUCUGAGAGGAUGACCAGCCACACUGGAACUGAGACACGGUCCAGACUCCUACGGGAGGCAGCAGUGGGGAAUAUUGCACAAUGGGCGCAAGCCUGAUGCAGCCAUGCCGCGUGUAUGAAGAAGGCCUUCGGGUUGUAAAGUACUUUCAGCGGGGAGGAAGGCGAUAAGGUUAAUAACCUUGUCGAUUGACGUUACCCGCAGAAGAAGCACCGGCUAACUCCGUGCCAGCAGCCGCGGUAAUACGGAGGGUGCAAGCGUUAAUCGGAAUUACUGGGCGUAAAGCGCACGCAGGCGGUCUGUCAAGUCGGAUGUGAAAUCCCCGGGCUCAACCUGGGAACUGCAUUCGAAACUGGCAGGCUAGAGUCUUGUAGAGGGGGGUAGAAUUCCAGGUGUAGCGGUGAAAUGCGUAGAGAUCUGGAGGAAUACCGGUGGCGAAGGCGGCCCCCUGGACAAAGACUGACGCUCAGGUGCGAAAGCGUGGGGAGCAAACAGGAUUAGAUACCCUGGUAGUCCACGCCGUAAACGAUGUCGAUUUGGAGGUUGUGCCCUUGAGGCGUGGCUUCCGGAGCUAACGCGUUAAAUCGACCGCCUGGGGAGUACGGCCGCAAGGUUAAAACUCAAAUGAAUUGACGGGGGCCCGCACAAGCGGUGGAGCAUGUGGUUUAAUUCGAUGCAACGCGAAGAACCUUACCUGGUCUUGACAUCCACAGAACUUAGCAGAGAUGCUUUGGUGCCUUCGGGAACUGUGAGACAGGUGCUGCAUGGCUGUCGUCAGCUCGUGUUGUGAAAUGUUGGGUUAAGUCCCGCAACGAGCGCAACCCUUAUCCUUUGUUGCCAGCGGUUCGGCCGGGAACUCAAAGGAGACUGCCAGUGAUAAACUGGAGGAAGGUGGGGAUGACGUCAAGUCAUCAUGGCCCUUACGACCAGGGCUACACACGUGCUACAAUGGCAUAUACAAAGAGAAGCGACCUCGCGAGAGCAAGCGGACCUCAUAAAGUAUGUCGUAGUCCGGAUUGGAGUCUGCAACUCGACUCCAUGAAGUCGGAAUCGCUAGUAAUCGUAGAUCAGAAUGCUACGGUGAAUACGUUCCCGGGCCUUGUACACACCGCCCGUCACACCAUGGGAGUGGGUUGCAAAAGAAGUAGGUAGCUUAACCUUCGGGAGGGCGCUUACCACUU
rnacentral:rRNA from 1 species